GACGAACGCUGGCGGCGUGCUUAACACAUGCAAGUCGAACGGAAAGGCCCUGCUUUUGUGGGGUGCUCGAGUGGCGAACGGGUGAGUAACACGUGAGUAACCUGCCCUUGACUUUGGGAUAACUUCAGGAAACUGGGGCUAAUACCGGAUAGGAGCUCCUGCUGCAUGGUGGGGGUUGGAAAGUUUCGGCGGUUGGGGAUGGACUCGCGGCUUAUCAGCUUGUUGGUGGGGUAGUGGCUUACCAAGGCUUUGACGGGUAGCCGGCCUGAGGGGGUGAACGGCCCAAUGGGGAAGGGAGACCGGCCCAAGCCCCUUCGGGGGGGAGGAGGGGGGAAAUAGGGAAAAGGGGAGGAACCUGGGAGGAAGAGCCCCCGGGGGGGGGAGGCGGCCUUUGGGUUGGAAACGCUUUGCCCCAGGGGAAAAGCGGGAGGAAGGGAAAGGGUAAGAAAGGCCCGGCUAACCUCGUG
rnacentral:rRNA from 1 species